rnacentral:rRNA from 1 species
AAUAUUGGACAAUGGGCGCAAGCCUGAUCCAGCAAUACCACGUGUGUGAAGAAGGCCUGAGGGUUGUAAAGCACUUUUAUCAGUGAGGAAGUUGCGUAGGUUAAGAGCUAGCGUAAUUGACGUUAACUGAAGAAAAAGCACCGGCUAACUCCGUGCCAGCAGCCGCGGUAAUACGGAGGGUGCAAGCGUUAAUCGGACUUACUGGGCGUAAAGCGCACGUAGGUGGUUAGAUAAGUCGGAUGUGAAAGCCCUGGGCUCAACCUAGGAACUGCAUACGAUACUGUUUGGCUAGAGUACAGUAGAGGAUAGAGGAAUUUCCGGUGUAGCGGUGAAAUGCGUAGAUAUCGGAAGGAACAUCAGUGGCGAAGGCGUCUAUCUGGACUGAUACUGACACUGAGGAGCGAAAGCGUGGGUAGCGAACAGGAUUAGAUACCCUGGUAGUCCACGCUGUA